rnacentral:rRNA from 1 species
UACGUAGGGUGCGAGCGUUGUCCGGAAUUAUUGGGCGUAAAGAGCUCGUAGGCGGUCUGUCGCGUCGAAUGUGAAAACCCGGGGCUCAACUCCGGGCUUGCAUUCGAUACGGGCAGGCUUGAGUUCGGUAGGGGAGACUGGAAUUCCUGGUGUAGCGGUGAAAUGCGCAGAUAUCAGGAGGAACACCGGUGGCGAAGGCGGUUCUCUGGGCCUGUACUGACGCUGAGGAGCGAAAGCAUGGGGGAGCAAACGGG